rnacentral:rRNA from 1 species
GAUGAACGCUGGCGGCGUGCCUAAUACAUGCAAGUCGAGCGAACAGACGAGGAGCUUGCUCCUCUGACGUUAGCGGCGGACGGGUGAGUAACACGUGGAUAACCUACCUAUAAGACUGGGAUAACUUCGGGAAACCGGAGCUAAUACCGGAUAAUAUAUUGAACCGCAUGGUUCAAUAGUGAAAGACGGUUUUGCUGUCACUUAUAGAUGGAUCCGCGCCGCAUUAGCUAGUUGGUAAGGUAACGGCUUACCAAGGCAACGAUGCGUAGCCGACCUGAGAGGUUGAUCGGCCACACUGGAACUGAGACACGGUCCAGACUCCUACGGGAGGCAGCAGUAGGGAAUCUUCCGCAAAGGGCGAAAGCCUGACGGAGCAACGCCGCGUGAGUGAUGAAGGUCUUCGGAUCGUAAAACUCUGUUAUUAGGGAAGAACAAAUGUGUAAGUAACUAUGCACGUCUUGACGGUACCUAAUCAGAAAGCCACGGCUGACUACGUG